rnacentral:rRNA from 1 species
AUUGAACGCUGGCGGCAUGCCUUACACAUGCAAGUCGAACGGCAGCAUGAUCUAGCUUGCUAGAUUGAUGGCGAGUGGCGAACGGGUGAGUAAUACAUCGGAACGUGCCCUGUAGUGGGGGAUAACUAGUCGAAAGAUUAGCUAAUACCGCAUACGACCUGAGGGUGAAAGUGGGGGACCGCAAGGCCUCAUGCUAUAGGGGCGGCCGAUGUCUGAUUAGCUAGUUGGUGAGGUAAAGGCUCACCAAGGCGACGAUCAGUAGCUGGUCUGAGAGGACGAUCAGCCACACUGGGACUGAGACACGGCCCAGACUCCUACGGGAGGCAGCAGUGGGGAAUUUUGGACAAAGGGCGAAAGCCUGAUCUAGCAAUGCCGCGUGUGUGAAGAAGGCCUUCGGGUUGUAAAGCACUUUUGUCCGGAAAGAAAUGGCUCUGGUUAAUACCUGGGGUCGAUGACGGUACCGGAAGAAUAAGGACCGGCUAACUACGUG